rnacentral:rRNA from 1 species
GACGAACGCUGGCGGCGUGCUUAACACAUGCAAGUCGAACGGAAAGGCCCUGCUUUUGUGGGGUGCUCGAGUGGCGAACGGGUGAGUAACACGUGAGUAACCUGCCCUUGACUUUGGGAUAACUUCAGGAAACUGGGGCUAAUACCGGAUAGGAGCUCCUGCUGCAUGGUGGGGGUUGGAAAGUUUCGGCGGUUGGGGAUGGACUCGCGGCUUAUCAGCUUGUUGGUGGGGUAGUGGCUUACCAAGGCUUUGACGGGUAGCCGGCCUGAGAGGGUGACCGGCCACAUUGGGACUGAGAUACGGCCCAGACUCCUACGGGAGGCAGCAGUGGGGAAUAUUGCACAAUGGGCGGAAGCCUGAUGCAGCAACGCCGCGUGCGGGAGGACGGCCUUCGGGUUGUAAACCGCUUUCGCCUGUGACGAAGCGUGAGUGACGGUAAUGGGAAAAGAAGCACCGGCUAACUACGU